rnacentral:lncRNA from 1 species
GCAAAUCUGAUGAGACAAUCGGAGGCCUUGAAACGCAAAAUCGAAGCACUAGACUCGGAGACCAAGACCUCACUCGACUCACUCAAGAAGAGAGAACUCAGCAUCGACGACAGCGUCAAGAUUGCAGUCAACCGAGUCGAGCUUCUAAAAAAAGAUGCUUUGAAAACCUUAAACGACGACAAUCCCGACGGAGAAGUUGACAACGGAGACGGCCUUUUGCAAAUCCUGAAAUCAACGUGUUUGAGAAUGGAAGCUAAAGAGUUCUGGAACUUUGUCUCCGGCCGGAAGAAAGAUAUCGAAUUAUUAAGAGAGAAAAUUCCAGAAGCUUUAUCGGAAUGCAUCGAUCCAGCGAAGUUCGUUAUGGAGGCCAUAUCGGAGGUAUUUCCGGUGGAUAAAAGAGGGAAUGAGAGAGGAAAUGAUUUAGGAUGGGCUUGUGUUUUGGUUCUAGAAAGCUUGAUUCCGGCGGUGGUUGAUCCAGUGAUCGGAAAAUCGAGGAUGCUGAUUACGCGGAGUGUGAAAGAGAAGGCGAAAGAAAUCGCGGAGACAUGGAAAAGAAGCCUCGAAGAGAGAGGAGGGAUUGACAAUGUGAAGACUCCUGAUGUUCAUACUUUUUUUCAACACUUGAUUACGUUUGGGAUUGUUAACGAAGAGGAGUUGGACCUUUAUAGGAAGCUUGUUAUUGGCUCUGCUUGGAGGAAACAAAUGCCUAAGCUUGCAGUUUCGCUUGGCCUCGGUGAUAAAAUGCCUGGUAUGGGGAUUUUCUUCUCGUGAUUGAAUUACAGUAUUUUUAAAACUUCUUAUGAAUUAUGAUUUAGUUUCUGUUAGUGAGAAUAUGAUUAAGAGUUUCAAAAAUGGUGCAGCUUAUUAGAGGAGCUUGUGUUCUAGAAAUUGGGUUUUUAACUUAAGCACUGGGAAUGGGGAUAUUAAUCUUCACUGUGAUAGUGUAGCAAAAGUGCAGAAUUAACUUAAUUGUUGUAAAGAUAAGUUUAUAGGGCAUUUCAUGAGCAGUAUUGCUUGCAUUUAGGAGUCUUAGAUACAAUGAGUAUGAUAUAUAUUUUCUUUUUAUCCUUGGAUGGUUGGCUGGAAUCAAAAUUCAUUGGGCAUGUUGGUUGAAUUUUGGCUGGCCAUGGGUACUUCUUCAAAAUGAAGAAUCCCUAGCCGUAGUUGAGAGACGUAAUUAAGUGACUCGUAAUGAAAGAUGUUACUUAGCUACUACUAAUCUAACAUGUUGGUAAAGCAUUUGUCUUUUCUUUUGUAAGAUUACAUACUUUGGAGAUGAUUCAUGCUUGUGUAUAAGCUCGCACGUGAUUUGACUGGUCCUUAUAUAUAAAAAUGUGUGUGUGUAUGAAGGUAUUUGUACACAUGGUCUUCUCAUUAUGUUGGUUGAUGUUUUUGGAAGAUAGUUUCUCUUCAGAGGACCAUUUACUUUUAUCAUUUUGGGAAUUCGGUGCUGUGUCUUGUGAAGAGUUUACUAGCUAGUUGUUGUGGUUCAAAUAGAAUUAAGAACAUAGAACUUCAUGUUGAGAUAGGUAAAGCUAGAUAUUCAUGGUAUUGGAUUACUAAGAAAAAUCUGACUUCAAAGGUGUUAGUAGUGGAGCCUAAUGGAUGUAACAUGCAUGACUCAAAUAAGAUUGAAUGCCUAAUUUUUAUAUCGAUCUACGUUUAGGAUAAUUAAUUUUUAUGUUAUUUUAACACUGUUAAAUCCUUAACAUGGUCAAUAUUUCAUUGAAAACAUAGCUUUUGUUGAUCCUUUCUAUGACUAUUUACCAUAGUUAAUUGGAACCUGACUCAUUAAAUUACAAUUACAAGAUUGAGUUUGUAAUGCCUUUUAAGUUCUUUUCUGCAGACAUGAUUGAAGAAUUGAUCAGUAAAGGACAACAGCUUGAUGCAGUUCAUUUCACUUAUGAAGUCGGGCUCGUUGACAGGUUCCCCUCUGUGCCCCUGCUAAAAGCUUUCUUGAAGGAUGCAAAGAAGGCAGCUUCAUCUAUUUUGGAAGAUCCCAAUAAUGCCGGCCGGGCUGCGGUAUGCCAUUCUUUAGUUGUACUGAUAAUUGGUUUUAUUCUUUACUAUUAGUGAUAUUCAAUUAUCCUUUUCUUUGCGUAAGCAGAGUGUUCUGUUCUCUUGUUUGAUUGCUGUCAUAUAUUCUUUGUGGCGGUUAAUGGUAUUGAGGCUCACUUUUUAUUGUGAGGAUUAGGGAUGUGGGAUUUUCUCUAGAUUUUAUCUAAGAAAUAUUCAUAAAAGCUCUUUGCAUACCUUUUUAUCUCCUAAUUAAUGCCAAAAACCAAGAAACCGGUGGUAUUGACUAUUGACAAAUAGGUGGGAGAGAUUGAUUGGUCAUGGUUGUCUAUACCUUAAAGUAUUCUUCAUUUCUAGCAGUUAUGUUUCUACUAAUAAGUAGUAGUUCUUGAUUUAUACAGCAACUUGCUGCACGCAAAGAGCAAUCAGCACUUCGGGCAGUCAUGAAGUGCAUCGAAGAGUACAAACUUGAGGCAGAGCUUCCCCCAGAAAACCUCAAGAAACGCCUUGAGCAGCUAGAGAAGACCAAGACUGAGAAGAGAAAGCCAGCUGCAGUUCCUGCUAACAAGCGAACACGGGCCAGUAAUGGCGGUCCAAUGCCUCCAGCUAAAGCUGGCCGUUCAACGAAUGCAUACGUCUCAUCUUUUGCAGCACCACCGUCAAUUGUCAGGUCUCCCUCACACCCUCAGUACCCUGCUGCAGUCCCAGCAUACCCGUCCCCCCCACCUGCCAUGUACGGAACCCAAACCCCACCCACCUGUCCGUAUAUGUACUCACCAGAAGCAGCCCCUCAGCUAGCUGGUUCUUACCCUGGAGCUCCCAUGAACUAUCCUGCAUAUGGAGGGUAUGGUAAUGGUAUAGCACCAGCAUAUCAGCAGGCUUACUACUGAUAGACGAUGACUACU